AACCGGGAAGCAUUUCCGGGGGCGGGAGGCGCAGGCUGAGUCGGUCGCGGCGGCGACGGCUUGAACGGGCCUGAAGCCGGUGGCGGAAAGUGUCCCGCGGAAGUCAGUGUGAUUCUAAUUUGAAGCAAAACUGAGAAAUGGGUUCCUCUUCCUCAUUCAUCCAUACUGCUUUGUGAUGGCCAUGGCAUAAGGGGCUUUUUUCCAGGAUAACACCUUUGGAUUAGGACCUGUCCCAUAGUCCACCCUGGGAUUUGAGCCACAGCCAGACCUUCCAAGUGAACAGGCGUUAGUGUUCUUCUCUCAAGAUUGCUACUAUUAUACCAGGAUUGCCUGGGGAACUGGGUGGAGUUGCAGAGCAC
rnacentral:lncRNA from 1 species